AGAGGGCGUGGCCCAGACGCUUAUACCAAGUGCUGCCAGCCCCUAGGCUGGGCCGCUUCCCUUUCCCUUCAUUUUUCCUCUAGUAUUACUUAGUCCCUGGCCGGGUCCCGAGCUAAAAGAGAGUCAGAAAGAGUCGGGAAAAGGCAGGUGGUGAAAAACGUGAUUUUUCAAGAAAAAGGCACCGGGAGGGUAGCUCGGGGAGUCCAAAGCUAGCCCGGAGGACUCUCUUGUUACAUAGGGAAAAAAUGAAGACCUGGGGGUUCUGGUGGCGUGACCCAGGUUCCCCGGGGGUAAAUGCAAGAGCCCUGAGGAGAGCCGAACCAGAGCCUGGGUAAGGGCUUCCUGUCCGCGAUGGACCAGAGUAUCAGCUGCAGGCUUGUUCGAUACAGAAAUGAGGAACUCCUGGUCCGUUUUCAUGGAGGCCUGGGAGCUGACUUUGAACAUCGGGAAGAAGAUGCGUCUGACGGAGUUAAGCGAGUGGGCGGAGCUGAAGGAUUGCUAGAUACUCCAGAAGAACCAAGUCUGAAAAUGAAUACAAGAAGCAAGAAAAAGCACCAAUAAGGGAAAGAUGAAAGAAAUAAGUACCGAGAACGAAAGAGAGAAAUUCCAACUCUUAAGGCACAGGAACUCUCAUCCUGAGGAGACUCACACAGCUGCUGCUUCAGGAGUGCCAUGACAAGGAGCAGAAACUACAGGAGCUCCGAGACCAUGGAUGGAAACCUAUUAAGAACAAGGACAAUCUACAGAGCUGUCAUCUUUAUUUGAUCCCAAUCAAAAGACAGGUAGCCAGCCACAAACUUUUGUGCUGCAGGGGGCUGCUGGUACUGGAAAAACCACCCUAGCAGCAAGUUGAUAAUGGAUUGGGCAGAGGGAAGACUGUACCAGAACAGAUUCUACUGUGAUUUUAUGCCUCAAUUGUAGAGAACUGAACCCAUUAGAAGGCAGAGAAAACCAGUUUUUCUAAAUUGAGUGCCAAAGCUUGGCCUGCCCCAUGGGCUCCCAUGACAGAGAUCAUGUCCCAGCCAGAGACUCUUGUUCAUCACUGAUGAUUUAGAUGAACUGAAAUUCCCUUGUAAAGCACAGAUAUGAUCUCUGUAAAGACUGGAAGUUACAGAAGCCAGUGCCCAUCCUAAGGAAAACCAGGGCCCCUGAAGCUUCUGUGCUGCUCACUCUAAGACUCAUUGCUCUGGAGAAAUUUAGUCCUUUCUUAGAAAAUUCAUGUCAUGUACAGAUUCUGGGCUUCUCUGUGAAGCAUAGGAAGGAGUAUUUCUGAAAAAGUCUUUAGUAAAAGGCAAUGGCACACUAUUCACCAUGUGUUCUGUUCCCCUAAUGAACUGGAUUGUCUGUCCUUGCCUGAAAUAAGAGAUGGAGAAAGGACUAGAUCCCAUUCAGUCUUUGAAAACCAGACUGUCCUAUUCUAUGUGUUAUCUUUCCAAUUUAAUGACAACUGAUGACAAGAUUUUUGUACCUCAGCACUUAGAGGGGCCUUUGUCAUUUGGCUAUUUGAGGGAAUCUGGAGGAGGAAACUGCUAUUUGAGAGGGAUCUAAAUAGGUUAUGCUCAGAACUGUUAUGCCUGGACCUGAAUCCAGGAAGACCUAAAUUGUAAUCUGGCCUCAGACAUUUAGUAACCCUAACCCUAACCCUAUUUGAAAACCUGAUCAGUGGGAUCCUUGAUCAACUUUCCUAAGGACUUGAGUCCCUGAAUGGGUUCUUCAAUCAGUCUAUCAUUAGACCUGAGGCCCUUAGCAAGGAAAACUUAUUUUGUCAUAUCCCUUAAAGGAGUACCCUGCAUACUGCUGCUCCAACUUCCCAACCCCAGUAUACACCAGAUAGUGUGGAUUUAUAACCCUGGCUCCAACCUGUUCUGGGAGCCCUGAGGAGUUAAUUUGAAAUACAGAGAAUGAUAAUCUGAGACUGAUAAUCUGAGACUCAUGGCGCUCCAGGAGUCUCCAGAGAGAACCUGGCCCAACCCAUCCUUUAGUCUAGACUGACUGAUUCCAUUGGUAACUUAGCUUAGAGAAAAAAAAGAGGAAGUGUCACAUAGUAUUGUGAGAUUUAAAAUGGUUGAAGUCUUAAACUGUAGUGAUUAAAAUAGUGGAAGAUAUAAAUUAUGAUAGAUAUAAGAGAGGGUGAGUAAAUUUGACUGCAGAAAUAUGUUUCACUACAGUGUCUUGGUUUUUAAAAUCAAAUAUAAGGUGGUCGCCAGGGAAAUAUUCCCAAUUAUUCAAAUACCCAAGUCAAUUGGGUUUUAUAGAGAUUUUAAUUAACAAUACAAUGAGUAAUCAAAGAAAGAGAGAGAGAGAGUAAGAAAGGAAUAAGUAUGAAGGGCCUCAAGCCAAUAUGGCCUAGACCUGAGUCUUAAAAAGAGAUUUCAGUCAGUUUUUUAUAACUCACCAUAAGAUCUGUCUAAGUAAGGAUUUCUAAUGACACCAGGCCAGCAGCAUCUCAGCUGCUUUCACCAGCUCCCUCCUCCAUCUGAAUGUUUCAGAAUCAGUCUCCCUAGAAUGAGUCUCUCCAAUCUGAAUGUUUCAGAAUGACUCCUCCAGCUCUUCCCUGAGCUCUUAUUUUUAAGGGCAAAAUCUUCUCUGUCACCUCCCCUAAGUCCUUACAUCUACCAAUCACUGUAGAUGUUUCUAAAGGACCGCCCAUUCUUAGUCCACACCUAAGAAGGUGUGGAUUUUUGAGUAAUUCACACCAGGAAAGCUCUGAGUAAGUUUAACAGUUCUUUGUUCCUUGUAAAUUCACAAGUUGCUUGACCUUUAUAGGUACUUAGCUUAAGAAAAGUAUGGGUUUAAGUACUUUUCAUUGUUCAGAAAAAGAGUUUACAACUUUAUCUUCCCCUAGGGCAGACCCAAGUAGGUAAAGCAGAAUUCUCACAUUCCUGCUUUAAGUAGAGUUCACUGCCCAAAUGGGGAAUGGUCUUAAUCCAAUCUUAUAAAGUAGGGUCUGGGAAAUUUUAAGGUUUACAGUAUCCAAUCCCCAACAGCUGAACAUUGGUUCCUUCUCUUUCAAAGUCCCCCUCGCUAUUACAAUAGGCAAGCUGACAUCACACUAUGGAGGUAAUCCUGCAUCCCUGAGGGGUUGUGACACUAGAACAAAAGUUCCACUGGGUAAGAGCAAACAGGAAAAACUUGUAUUGGAAAGAGUAUGGUCCUGGCAACAGAUUGUAUCUGCUGUCUAAGAACCAAUCUAGCAAAAUAUGAUCCUAGUAACAUAUGUUAACUGAGAACAAAAUAAUCUAAACUAAUCAAAUUAAAAACUGAACGGAACAAGGAGAAACAGACCUAAUAUUAAAUUGUUAAAGAAGCUGUGAAUUUUUCUUUUUUAGAAAAGUAAAGUUGUUCAAAUUCAUUAUCCAAGAGAUCCUGUUACUAAGGAUAGGCCCUAAGGGCAUUAUUGGAAAGGUGAAAAGCUGUGUUUGUAUUAAAAUAUUCAGGAAAACUGUUUAUUACAAUAAAAAUGAAAUAAAAUAUAUGCAAUGAAUGAGAGAAA